GUAUGGAUUUUGCUCGAAUUGUACGGUAAACUUCCUCUGCUAUUUCGUUGCAAUAAUGGUGAUUUUUGUAGUAUUCAUCUUUUCAUUGAAUAAAUGAACGAUCUUUUUAUAACAGUUUUAAAACAAUUUAAUCAGAAAACCUUUGCGAAGUUUAUAGUUGAUGGGAUUGAUGAUUACCGUUGCAGUAAGUAGAUAUGAAAGAGCCCAUUAUUCAUGGGGGACAAGUUUUCUACAUAAUUAUGGUCAAUUAUUGAAAUUUCACGUAAAAUAGAAAAUAAUAUAAAAAUGAUUUCAAAUCUCUCGGUAUGAUUUUAUAGCAAAGUAAACAUUGAUAAACUACAGUGAAGUAUCGCGACAAAGAAACGACAGUUCUGUUCAAUGGUAUCGAUAAUAUCAUUUUAAUAAAGUUGUUCCCGGAACACGGAGAAGAACAAGUAUAUCUCUCUCCGAAUGAAGAUAGUAUAAAUAAAAAUAAAUAAAAUAUCGAAAUGUAAAUAAAUGAAUAUUCAACUAAAGUGUGUGAAUGAAGAAUAUUGAAAUAUAAGAUAAUGUCCAAAGUGCAUACACAUUAUUCUUACGAAAAUAAAAAUAAAAUAUAAAAUAUCUAUAUAACAUAUAUCAAAUUUCUACUCACCUUUUAAUCUUCUGAUGUUCAACAAUAUUCAUGAGCUUUGUGGAGUCAAUUGUCUCUGUUUCAUUUGACUGAAAUAGAUAGAGAAGGCCUGGGACCAAGACUAUCAAUGAGAGCAAGUACGAGAUAAAAAUUAUAAAGGCAUUAAAAAUUUUGGAGAACGUGGAAGAUGGGAUGUUCAGUGGCCAGCAACCGACCAUUUUCGAGAGCGGAUAUGCGAACCAAAGGAAAAGUUCUGCGAAGUUUAUAAUCGAUAGAAUGAAUGAUGACCAUUGCGGAGAGCAAAUAUGAAAGUAUUCAUGGGGGAGAAGUUUUCUAUAAUUAUGGGCCAAUUAUUGAAAUUCUACAUAAAAGGAGAAUUUUCAUAAUUUCUACAUUAGAAGAAAAAUAAUGUAUAAACGAUUUUAAAAUUCUCUGUACGAUUUCAUAUCAUGGUGAAUAUGUACUGUGCUUGAGAACAUGUGUAAUAUUAUCUUCAAUCAACUGUAGUAUAUCAUGUAUUUCAUUUUAUAACAAAUAUUAUUUGUCGAUACUAUUUAUAGGCAGUACAGAACAUCAUGGCCAACGUGAAAUAUGAUUAAGAAAUAUCAAUAUCAAUGAUAUUGUUUCAAUAAAGUUAUUUCUGGAAUACGCAGAACAAAUAUCUUUGCUUCAAUAAAAACAAUAUCAUCAUAUAAAUAAAAUCAAACUGUAAAUAGCUGUAAAAAAAUGGAAAAUGAGUUUCUGGAUUCUCGCAUACUUUAUUCAAUAUAUACAAACAUCAAACAUAUUUGGAAACCACAAUUUAUUAAAUUAAUAGAUAUAUAAAAAUUUGAAAACAUAAAAAAUAAUAUUCUUAAUACUUACGUUGAAAAAUACGUUUACCACUUUGGCAGCUAUAAGAUUUAUAGAAUAAUUGAACAUAAUGAUCAACAGUAUUAAAUACUGAUUUUUUUACCAAAAAAUAAUAAUGUUGUUUCUUAAAAAUCACAUAACUACCAGAAUAUAGUAUCUAUUUUAUAAUCGUGUUAUCCAGUAGAAGGAUUCUACAUUGGAGAAUGGAAAAAUCAUUCAAUAAGCUAUACCAGAACUAUACAUAGCAGUCGUUAUAUCUAUCAUCACUGUGAUGUUUGCCUCUGUGGUUGAAAAUUCACAGAUUUCUUCAAACAAUAUAUUUAUAUAUAGAUAUAUUCAUUUCGUUAUGACAAAUACAAGACAAAUACAAAAAUUUAUCACACGUUGGAGUAAUAAAGUAUAUAACAUUUGAUAGAAACAACUUAUUAUACAUAGUUGAAUAUUUCAUUUUUGGACAAUUUCAAUCGUAUGCACUCUUAAUGAUCUAAAAAAUAAGUAGCAGUAUGUGCAAAAAGUAAGAACACACAAGUCUACGCUUUGAUACUUACACUAGUAAACGUGACCAAGGAUACGUCCACAAGUCUUCCCGCAGUGACUUUUAUUGGAUAAUUCGACAUAAUGAUCAACAGUAUCAAGCUGCGCGCCUUUUUUGUAGAUAAUUUACUUCAUCAACCAAAAGUUGACCGACAUAGCAUAUGGAGAAGGUGCCAAAGACGCAAGUUGUUUGCAAGGCAACAAAUACGUACAGAAGGCCUGGAAUCAAGACUAUCAAUGGUAGCAAGUACGAGAAAAAAAUGGUAAAGGAAUUUAAAAUUUUAGAAAACGCGGAAGAGGGGACGUUCAACGGCCAAUAGCCAAGCAUUCUCGAGAGCGGAUAAGCGAACCAAAAGAAAAGUUUUGCCAACUUUAUAAGAUAGAUGAUUAUGAACGUAUGCAGAUGUGGAAAAAGCUAGUAUUCAUUGAGGAUGAGUUUUUGUCAUAAUUAUGAGUCAAUUAUUGAAAUUCUACAUUAAAAUUGAAGGAAAAUACAAUGAAAAAGGAUUUAAAAUCUUACAGAAGAGUAAAUGUAUACUAUAUUUAAUAGUGCUAUCAGUCAAGUGUAUCAUGCAUGCCAUUUUGCCAAUAAAUAAUUUGUUAAUAUAUAUAUACAGAUAUUUAUACUUAAAUUGUCACAAUGAUAGACAUUCCAAUUUCUGGUUUACCUUUUGAUCUUCGUUUGAUAUUCCACUAUGUCCACAAUUCUCUUCUGCAUGGUAUUCUCGCUGGUAAUCGAUCC
rnacentral:lncRNA from 1 species